CCGGCUCUGCGCAGCUGGUAGUGGUGGCAGUGCUGCUGCGGUGUGUGUGGCGGACGCGUGAUGCAUAAUUAAUCGACCAAUAAUCGGAGCGCGCCGCCUGGGCGGUGGCGUGCGUGGAAGCCAAACCAAUGCAAUACAUAUGGCUGACUGUCGUGUGCUUGCGUGCUUGUGUGUGUGUGUGUGUGUGUGUGUGUGUGGUGGUGCCGCGGCUCCAUCGAGGCGGCGGUGUGCGUGCUGUGCAAGCGUGAUGCAGAGCAUACAACAAUCAUGUCGGGGGGCUGCCCCGUGGUGGCUCCCUCUGAAGCGUCGCUGCGCGCGACCACUUGACUGAACCCCUGUUAAGCGUCAUCCGCUGACUUGCACUGCGGCUGCGUUAGCGUGUU